AGAGUGCUCGGGCCUGGUGCAGCGGGUCCAGAGUAGGCUGGAGGGAUGGAGGGCAUCCUCCCUAUCCAUGAUGGGGAGUGUUCGUCCGAUUCCUAUCUACCUAAAAAUAUGCUAGACAGAUCGUUGUUAGAACCGACGAACAAAAGUUAAAUUUAAUUCUACUCUUACCUUUCCUACUCGAAGAAUAGCGGUUGUAAGAGGUCGAUCCACAGGGAGGCGAUUGGAGUUGCAUAAAAAUUA
rnacentral:lncRNA from 1 species